rnacentral:rRNA from 1 species
AAUGCGUAGAGAUCUGGAGGAAUACCGGUGGCGAAGGCGGCCCCCUGGACAAAGACUGACGCUCAGGUGCGAAAGCGUGGGGAGCAAACAGGAUUAGAUACCCUGGUAGUCCACGCCGUAAACGAUGUCGAUUUGGAGGUUGUGCCCUUGAGGCGUGGCUUCCGGAGCUAACGCGUUAAAUCGACCGCCUGGGGAGUACGGCCGCAAGGUUAAAACUCAAAUGAAUUGACGGGGGCCCGCACAAGCGGUGGAGCAUGUGGUUUAAUUCGAUGCAACGCGAAGAACCUUACCUGGUCUUGACAUCCACAGAACUUUCCAGAGAUGGAUUGGUGCCUUCGGGAACUGUGAGACAGGUGCUGCAUGGCUGUCGUCAGCUCGUGUUGUGAAAUGUUGGGUUAAGUCCCGCAACGAGCGCAACCCU